rnacentral:lncRNA from 1 species
GAGUCGCACUAAGAAAAGGUAGAGACUUCGAUCUUCUUCAACCGGUGGACAGCACGGUGAGAUUUCCUCUUCCUCGUCCAGGAACUUUCUUUUGUGUAGGAGGACAACGACGACCAGAAUCGUGAGCCAAGCUAGAGACUUCGGAUUUUCUUGAACCGGCAAACAGCGUGGUAAGAUUUCCAUUUUUGCUUCAGUCAGGAACUUUCUUUUGUGUAUAACAACGACGACCAGACUCGUGAUUCGCACCAGGGAAAGCUAGAGGCUUCGGAUCUUCAUGAAUCGGCACCAUUCUUGUUGUUUCGAGAGAGUGAUCGAGGUGCGUAGGAGGACAAGGGCGAUCAAGAUAGCGAGUCCCAGGAGGAGCCAAAGGAAAAAGAUUAUCUCAAGGUGAGUAGCAUUCGAUCAUUGAUAGACCCGAGUUUACUGAAAUAUAAAUGACUUAGGACAAAGAGGA